rnacentral:rRNA from 1 species
GUGUAUACACUGUUGCGUGUCUGAGCAAAAGCAUUAAGUGAUCCACCUGGGGAAGUACGAUCGCAAGAUUGAAACUCAAAGGAAUUGGCGGGGGUCCGCACAAGCGGUGGAGCAUGUGGUUUAACUCGAUGAUACGCGAGGAACCUUACCUGGGCUAGAAUGUCACGUGACCGGUAGUGAAAGCUACCUUUGUAGCAAUACACACGUGAUAAGGUGCUGCGUGGCUGUCGUCAGCUCGUGCCGUGAGGUGUUGGGUUAAGUCCCGCAACGAGCGCAACCCCCAUCACUAGUUGCCAUCAGGUAACGCUGGGAACUCUAGUGAAACUGCCGUCGUAAGACGUGAGGAAGGAGGGGAUGAUGUCAAGUCAUCAUGGCCUUUAUGCCCAGGGCUACACACGUGCUACAAUGGGGCGUACAAAGGGCUGCAACACAGUAAUGUGAAGCUAAUCCCAAAAAACGCCUCUCAGUUCAGAUUGGAGUCUGCAACUCGACUCCAUGAAGCUGGAAUCGCUAGUAAUCNUAGAUCAGCAACGCUACGGUGAAUACGUUCCCGGACCUUGCACACACCGCCCGUCAAGCCAUGGGACCCGGGUGUACU